CAUUCUCUGACACCAACGCUAGCCCGCAGCGCCGCCUAUUCCCUUCUUCAUCCAUCUUAUUCCGACGACCUCCUCACAACCGAAGAAACUCAGCUGCUGCGGCGCCGAAUCGCUCCACCCUCCUCUCAUAGAGCUGAUUUUAGUUCAUUUUAGAGAAUCAUAUUCUCAGCUAUUCUGCCUUGAAAAUUUGGAUAUGGCGGCUUAUGGUGCAGCCACUUCUCUCGGGAAUACAAUUCAGCGUAUUCUACAAUCCUCUCGCAUUUCUCUUGUUUCCUCUCUCCACAAAUCUUAUCAAAACCAGCUGCCGCCGCCGCCGACUUUCGCCAACUCCACCACGAGAUCAGGCGAUUUCUAACACACAGUUUUGGAAGAAAAUUUCUGAAAUUGUAUCAAAACCAGCUGCCGCCGCCGUCGACUUGCGCCAACUCCUCCACGGGAGGCGACUGAAUUUUAUUCUGGGCUAAUUGCUGUGUAGUUUAAGCUUCAUUUUGGAGAGCUCUAAGCAAAUUCAUUUCAACAAUCGUAUUCUGAGCUGAUAAUUUGGGUAUGGUGGCUUAUGGUGCAGCCACUUCUCUAAAGAAUACGAUUGAGCGUAUUCUACAAUCGUCUCGCAUUUCUCUCGUUUCCCUCUCUCCACAAAUAGUACCCUCAGCUGAUUAUGGUGCAGAGACUUUUCUCAAGAAUACGAUUCAGUGUAUUCUACAAUCGUUUUGCAUUUCCCUCGUUUCCCACUCUCCACAAAUCUUACAACCUGCCUACGACGAGGUGGAUCGCUUGCAGAUAGUUCUGCUAAGAUUGGACAACACCAGCUGCAGCAAGAUCAGGAUGACGGUGAAUGCUGUGGAUGAACGAAUCAAAGAGGCAGUUUGGGAAUUUGAAGAUUUACUCGAAUCCCAUGUCUUACAUCAGAUUCUUCCACAACUCGAAAGCGAGAGAGACAGCUUGUCAUUCCCUGUAGAGCUACAGAGUCUGCAAGACCAUGUUGAUUGCUUUGUCGAGAAGAUGAAGAUGAUGGAAGAGGAAUACGCUUAUGAAAUGGAGAAUAUGCCUGAAGAAGAAGGGGAGCCUAUUUCCUCAAGAAUCAAUUUUGGUGGAAUCAACUCGAAGAUGGUUUGAUUAUCUGAUGAAUUUCAAAAAGCCAGAGAUUAUCUUCUUGAAGAUAAAAACUAUUCGAUUUUUGGGAUGGCGGGUGUUGGAAAGACAACUCUUGCUAAGCAUAUUUUUGAAGAUCCAUCAAUUCGGAGCCAUUUUGAGUUUCGAGCAUGGGUCAAAGUGGGCAGAGAAUGUGAAUCUAAUGAACUAUUACGAUGUGUUCUAGCUCAAGUGGAUCCCAACGCUUACCAAAUGCUUAUCCAAGGAGAUGAUGAGGAGGAGGAAUUAGUUGGACGAUUGAAAGAAACAUUGAAGCAUAAGAAAUGUCUCAUCGUGUUGGAUGAUGUUUGGGAGGAAUAAGCAACUCAUCGCUUGACAAGUUGCUUACGAGAAAACAAAAUUGGUAGAAGGAUUCGAUUCUUACUUCCAAGUAGACAAGAUAUAAUAUUCUCGCAGCAUGGAUCUGAAAGAGUGCGCUUGUUGAAUGAAGAAGAAAGUAAGGAACUACUUGGUGAGAAGGUGUUUGGUGAAGAGGGAUUCCCUCUUCAGCUUGAGGAACUGGGAGAGAAGAUUGCUAAGAAAUGUGAAGGCCUUCCUCUUAUGAUAAUCACGGUUGCAAAGCUCUUAUCAAAAUCUGACAAGACCCUAGAACACUGGACUGAGGUACUCGUCAAACAAUGUAGUUCAGUUUUUGUGGAUGCAUAUAAUCAAAUAUCAGAGGUACUUUUCCUAAGCUAUGAUUACAUACCCCAAUAUUUAAAAAUGUUUUUUCUAUACAUGGGAGCUUUCUGUCCAUAUUUGGAUAUCCACCUAAACCCGCUCGACGCUAUGUUGAGUGCUGAUGUGUUUCUUCAACUGAGUGGAGAAGAAAGUUUUGAUUACUUUUGGGGAAUAAAAAGUAUCGUGUGCAUUCUUGUUGGCAGCACGUGUGUAGAGUAGAAGCUAGUAGGAUCAAGUUUCUGCAUGUCUUACAAAGUUGUGAUGAUGUUAUAAAAGACCAGCGCCGCUUAUGUGCCCAUUGGAACAGUUUAUUAUGCUUCAAACAAGUGUGUGAUUCGAUAAAAAGUGAUUGUACAUCCACUGUCCGUUCUCUCCUUUGUUAUGGACCUUAUCACCCAUAUCCACUGCCAAUACAUGCCAUGGGUUUCAAGUUGCUCAGGGUUCUACAUGCUAUUAAUGUUCGAUUUUACCAUAUCCCAACUGAAAUUUUCAAAACUAGUUUGUCUACGAUAUCUUGCCAUAACUUACAACGGUGACCUCUCUGAUUCCAUAUCCAACCUUUUUCACCUUCAAUUCUUGAUUAUUCAUAGACAUAUGUACAUUUAAAAGCGUAGAGUUCAAUCAUAUAUGCCUCUGCAAAUUUGGGACAUGCAAGAACUACAGCAUCUUGAGGUAGAGGGAAGGGACCUACCAACCCCUAACUCUGAUGCUGCCUUCAACAAACUCACCAGACUUAUUGGUGUGAGUGCAAACAGUUGUACUAGGGAAGUUCUCAAAAGAAUUCCUAAUUUAAAGAUAUUAGGAAUUGAUGUGGAGUUGAAGCCUUAUGAUGAUGAUGAAACCAACCCAUUGAGUUCCUUGAGUUAUAUCUCACAACUCCAGAAUUUGGCCGCACUUUACUAUACAAUCAGGAAUCCCGAGAUAAAACAUGAGUUUCCUACUAUUAUUCAUCUUUCAAUGUUCCCAUCAAGUCUCUCUAAUUUAGAAUUGAGUGGCGUUGGAUAUCCUUGGGAGUCUCUAAAUGAUAUUAGUUCGCUGCUACCAAAACUCAAGCUUCUCGAAUCAAAAUGCUAUACCUUUCGAGGCCCAGAGUGGGAAAUAAAACCGGGGAGUUUCUUGAAACUUAUUGAACUUGUAAUUGAAGACACCGAUUUGGUGCAAUGGAGACCUCAACGUGGAAGCCUCUCGAGCCUUCGUAUACUAAGGAUAAAGCACUGCUACAAAUUGCAACAACUCGAUUUUGCAAUCCUUUAGCUGUCGUUUGUGCCGAUGAAUUAGAAGGCGAGGUUUCCAUCGAACUUAUCACUCGUUCUUCUUUUUGAGCUCAAGUGACUCUGCAACUUGCUCGACAGGCAAAUGAGAGAGCCGAAUGGAUCAGACGCCGCGUCAUCCCUUGAUUUCAAUUCAAUUGUUGUAUUACCACAUUGUUGUAUGAAUUUAAGGAUUGUGACUUGUUUUGGAUUUUGUUGAGGAUUAUGAAACCUCAGUGCUAAAUGGUGUUUGUAACUAAAAUUGUUGUAAGUUGAAUUUGUGUGAAAACAUUAGUCUCUUACUUAAGGACUGCAAUUUUUGCUUUGUGCAUGAA